rnacentral:sRNA from 1 species
GAAAUUGAUAGUUCUUAUUACUUUUGUUGUCAUCAUGUGUGCAGCUGCUGAUAAAGAAACCGUGUUAACGUCUUCUUGUGAUGGCAAACAAUACAAAGUGAAAAAUUUCCCGCCUGGUUGUAAACCAGUCUCAUUUUUAGCUGUAACACUGGAUGAUGAUUUCAUACAAAAAGAGCUGAAUAACUGAAUGUUGGAUCGUCAAUAGUAUAAUAACAAUAACACUAUUUCAUAACAUGCGUGUGUGCUACAUUUCUUGUAAAGUUUGCGUGUCUGUUCGUUCGUUUUUUUGUUUUCUAUUUUGUUUUUUAAGUGGGAAAUUGUUACAUCUAUCAUCAUAAUGUAUAUAAUAAAAAUGACAUCAAAGCAAAUUUCA